rnacentral:misc_RNA from 1 species
CGCCCUCAGCGCGCACAACAACACUGAGUUCAACGAAAAAAUGUGAAACAUCGGCAGCACACACAGCACCACGUCGCCCACCCCAAUGUGCAUAUUAGGGUUUUCUCCAUCAACCUGCUGUGCCACACUGGACACCAAGCUCUUGUGCGUCAGCACCACCCCCUUGGGGAGUCCGGUGGUGCCGGACGAGAAGGGUAGGGCAACUGCAUCCUCCUCCGUGUUUAUGGUGACAAUGGGGACUGAGUUUUCGUCGGCUGAUGAUACUUCGGCGAAAGAGAUGCAGUUCUCGAUGUCACCAUCAAUGGUCACGACUGUCACCGGUGGGAAGCCUUCGGCGUGGAGUUUCUCGACGUACUGGGACUGGGUGACGACGAGCUUGGAGGAAGAGGCGGUGAACUGCUUGAGGAUUUCUGAUGGGGUAUAGAAGGGGUUGGCGGUGGUGGUGACGGCGCCGAGCAUGGAGGCGGCCAUGAAGGUGACGGCGAACUCGGUGCAGUUUUGGAGGAGUACCAUGAUGCAGUCGCCCUGUUUGAUACCGAGGGCGGCGAGGCCGGCCGCUGUGCGGCGGCAGAGGAGGUGGGUUUCGGAGAAGGAGAGGGUUUGGCCGGUGGGGGUGGAGAUGAGGCAGGGGGCAUCCGGCGAGGUGUGGAGCUUUUGGAAGCAGUAGGUAUGGAGGGGGAGGUGGUGGGGGAUGGGGAUGUCGGGGAGGCGGGAGCGGAAGAUGGUCGUCGGCGGCGGGGAUGGCGGGGAAGGUUUAGGGGAGGGGAGUUGGGUGUGGGAGUCGUGGGUGGCGACGGAGGCGGCCAUGAAUGGAGGAGGGGAGUUAGAAUUGGAGAGAUUGAGGUAGGG